rnacentral:rRNA from 1 species
AGAGUUUGAUCCUGGCUCAGGACGAACGCUGGCGGCGUGCCUAACACAUGCAAGUCGAACGAAGACCAUAGAGGAGCUUGCUUUAAUAUGGUUUUAGUGGCGGACGGGUGAGUAACGCGUGAGGACUUGUCGAGUACAGGGGGACAACAGGUGGAAACGUCUGCUAAUACCCCAUAAGCCUUCGGGUAAAAGGAGCGAUCCGGUACACGAGAGACUCGCGUUCUAUCAGCUAGUAGGUGGGGUAACGGCCCACCCAGGCCAAGACGGA